rnacentral:misc_RNA from 1 species
GUAAUUUAUUAAUAUGAGAAUAUAGUUGAAAAUAAUUAUUAAUUUAUUGUCUUGAAUUUUUUAAGCAAUAAUUAUUUCAGAAGGAUGGUGUAAAUGUUACUUCCAAUAUUUAUUAUUUAUGUCUUUUAACGCGCCUCUCAUGUUAAUCUGAUUUUUUUUUUAUACUGAAUUUAAAUUCAAAAUAUAUAUUUGUUCUGAUAUUAUGUUACGUUGCGUCGGAGUGUCAGAAAAAGGGUUAAGCCCCAGAAAUGACAUAUUUUUGUUUAAUUAAUUAUAUUUUUCAACAAAAUUAAUGGAAAAUGAAUCUUUUAAUUUAUACACACAAUCGAAAUCAUUAAAAG